rnacentral:rRNA from 1 species
AUGAACGCUGGCGGCGUGCCUAAUACAUGCAAGUCGAGCGAACAGAUGAGGAGCUUGCUCCUCUGACGUUAGCGGCGGACGGGUGAGUAACACGUGGAUAGCCUACCUAUAAGACUGGGAUAACUACGGGAAACCGGAGCUAAUACCGGAUAAUAUAUUGAACCGCAUGGUUCAAUAGUGAAAGACGGUUUUGCUGUCACUUAUAGAUGGAUCCGCGCCGCAUUAGCUAGUUGGUAAGGUAACGGCUUACCAAGGCAACGAUGCGUAGCCGACCUGAGAGGGUGAUCGGCCACACUGGAACUGAGACACGGUCCAGACUCCUACGGGAGGCAGCAGUAGGGAAUCUUCCGCAAUGGGCGAAAGCCUGACGGAGCAACGCCGCGUGAGUGAUGAAGGUCUUCGGAUCGUAAAACUCUGUUAUUAGGGAAGAACAAAUGUGUAAGUAACUAUGCACGUCUUGACGGUACCUAAUCAGAAAGCCACGGCUAACUACGUG